rnacentral:misc_RNA from 1 species
GAUGAAGAACGUAGCGAAAUGCGAUAAGUAGUGUGAAUUGCAGAAUUCAGUGAAUCAUCGAAUCUUUGAACGCACAUCGCGCCCCUUGGUAUUCCAUGGGGCAUGCCUGUUCGAGCGUCAUUUGUACCUUCAAGCUUUGCUUGGUGUUGGGUGUUUGUCCAUUCUCUUGCAGAGGGACUCGCCUUAAAGUAAUUGGCAGCCAGUGUUUUGGUUUUGAAGCGCAGCACAAGUCGCGAUUCAAAGCUAUACGCCCGCUUCCACAAGCCUUUUUCACUUUUGACCUCGGAUCAGGUAGGGAUACCCGCUGAACUUAAGCAUAUCAAUAAGCGGAGGA